rnacentral:rRNA from 1 species
UGCCAGACUCCUACGGGAGGCAGCAGUGGGGAAUAUUGCACAAUGGGGGGAACCCUGAUGCAGCGACGCCGCGUGGGCGAGGAAGUAUUUCGGUAUGUAAAGCCCUAUCGGCAGGGAAGAAGAAAUGACGGUACCUGAAUAAGAAGCACCGGCUAAAUACGUGCCAGCAGCCGCGGUAAUACGUAUGGUGCAAGCGUUAUCCGGAUUUACUGGGUGUAAAGGGAGCGUAGACGGCAUAGCAAGUCUGAAGUGAAAGCCCGUGGCUCAACCGCGGAACUGCUUUGGAAACUGUUAAGCUGGAGUACUGGAGAGGCAAGCGGAAUUCCUAGUGUAGCGGUGAAAUGCGUAGAUAUUAGGAGGAACACCAGUGGCGAAGGCGGCUUGCUGGACAGAGACUGACGUUGAGGCUCGAAAGCGUGGGGAGCAAACAGGAUUAGAUACCCGUGUA